rnacentral:rRNA from 1 species
GCGCAUGGGGGCUUUGGCUAUGGCAUCAGGAAUCAAGAAGGAGAAGAUGACUUAAGCUUUGCUCUAGCCUACAACAUGAUUGUAGCUAACACCCUCUUUAGAAAGAGAGAAUCACAUCUGGUGACUUUUAGUAGUGGCCAACACUCUAGCCAGAUUGAUUUCAUCCUCUCGAGAAGAGAAGAUAGGCGUGCGUGCCUAGACUGUAAGGUGAUACCUGGGGAGAGUGUUGUACCCCAGCAUAAGCUGGUGGUUGCUGACUUCCGCUUUCGGAUUCGUGUCCAGCGGGAUAAGCGUGCCAAGGUCGCUAGAACAAAGUGGUGGAAGCUCAAGGGGGAGGUAGCUCAGGUGUUCAAGGAGAGGGUAUUUAAGUAG